rnacentral:lncRNA from 1 species
CAGCCACAUGAGGACAUCACUGAGGUCUCAGACCUAUCUGCGGAGGUAGCUAGACUGCGAGGAGUCUUGGAGAGUGAGUUUGAUUUUCUGAGGAGAGAGAUUAGAGGCUCCAGUGAGCAUGCUUCCACUCAAUUCACUGCACUGCUACAAUCUAUUUCGAGAGCCUUAAACCUUCUGGACACUAUCAGACUAUCACUUGUAGCACAGUCCUUUGCUUCACAGCCUUCAGGAUCCUCUCACC